UAAAUUGUAGUCGGCUUGUACCGAGCUGAAACUACACAGCAGACUGUCAAAUCUCAAGAGUCCUAAAUAUAGAAGAAGUAUGAAAUCAAUCAGCUCUGGAAAGAUCGUGAUAGUUGCGCUAAAGAGUUGGAGGAAAAAAGAAAAAAAUAUCGGGCCACCGAAUCAAGAUUGGCACUGGCCGAUGUAGAGUCGGUCUCCACUA
rnacentral:lncRNA from 1 species